rnacentral:rRNA from 1 species
CGAACGCCCUCUUCGGAGGGAGUGGCAGACGGGUGAGUAACGCGUGGGAACGUACCCUUCGGUUCGGAACAACUCUUGGAAACAAGGGCUAAUACCGGAUACGUCCGUGAGGAGAAAGAUUUAUUGCCGAGGGAUCGGCCCGCGUUGGAUUAGCUUGUUGGCGGGGUAAUGGCCCACCAAGGCGACGAUCCAUAGCUGGUCUGAGAGGAUGAUCAGCCACACUGGGACUGAGACACGGCCCAG